CCCCGGAGGCGCCGGGAAAUUGGUGGAAAACACCUUCGGCUUCCCAGUGUGGAUCAAGCGUGAGGAGUGAGAGAAACUAGGAACUUCUCUGAAUACCUAAUGAUCCUGCAUGAAUUUAAUCAUCUCCAGGACUUUAGAGGCCCCAUUUUUGGUCAUUGGUAAACUUCAAGACUUCAGAUUUCUGGCAAAUGAACAUGUAUCAUGUUCCUAAUGAAUUUUCAAGGUCAUGUUUAUUAAUGAUCUUUUCCUGCUGUUUAAUUCAAUAUGGUAGUGAUAAGCUACAUAGUUCAAAAUGCAACAAGUUCUAAACACUCAGUCUCAAAAUCUUGGCCCCUUGUUUUGGCUCUAACAAUGCAAAGUUCAGAUGUGAAAGUCGGCCAGCAUGUUCAAAUAAAAAUCUCAAUAAAUUAGACAGCAGUUGAUGUUCUUAGUAGACUCAUUGCAG
ensembl:lncRNA